UUCGAAUGCUAUUCAGUGCCUCCUCAUUUGUCCUGGAGCCUUAACAGUGGUGCCCUUUCUCUUCUGGCUGCUUUUCCCUGCUUCUGGAGCAGCAGUUAUGGGAGAAGCAGAUGGCUACUGAUUGGGUCUCGCACCUCGGCUGGGCCGAGGACUCGAGCUGCCUCCGGGAGCAGAGCGGGAGAGAAGCAGGGGCCACGCAGCGGGUGACUCCUGCCUCAGCACGGGCUGCUGGCAGUGGCUCUCAGGGACAGCGGCACACAAGUACCAAGAGGCCCAGUAUUCUGAAAGAAGUUCGGAGCAAGUUCAAGUACAGUCAGAGACUGACUGAAGAAGUAGCAGAGGUGCUUAUGGCUUCUGCAAGCUGUGAGAAAAAGUGUGGAGGGGAAGGGACUCUGGGUCCCACUGUGAUGCCUGUGGCUGCUGGCUGG